rnacentral:piRNA from 1 species
UAUAAUUUUGUUGACGAUAUUUGCUGGCC